UACGGAGGGGGCUAGCGUUGUUCGGAAUUACUGGGCGUAAAGCGCACGUAGGCGGCUUUGCAAGUUAGAGGUGAAAGCCCGGGGCUCAACUCCGGAAUUGCCUUUAAAACUGCAUCGCUAGAAUUGUGGAGAGGUAAGUGGAAUUCCGAGUGUAGAGGUGAAAUGCGUAGAGAUUAGGAAGAACACCAGUGGCGAAGGCGACUUACUGGACUGUAACUGACGCUGAGGCAUGAAAGCGUGGGGAGCAAACAGG
rnacentral:rRNA from 1 species